rnacentral:rRNA from 1 species
UACAGAGGGUGCGAGCGUUAAUCGGAAUGACUGGGCGUAAAGGGCGAGUAGGCGGUAUAAUAAGUGAGAUGUCAAAAGCACGGGCUUAACCUGUGAGAGCAUAUUAGACUGUUAUACUAGAGAGCAGGAGAGGGGAGUGGAAUUUCCGGAGGAGUGGUGAAAUACGUAGAUUUCGGAAGGAACACCGGUGGCGAAGGCGACUCUCUGGCCUGAUUCUGACGCUGAGGGACGAAAGCUAGGGGAGCGAAUGGG